CAUCAUAUUUGUAAACAAUGUUAAAUUUGAUGGAUUGCUGGUCAAAUGGCGUUAUGCGCCAAGGAAGUUCUUGUCGUAGGACGAGCAGUCUUGUUCUGGGAUUGACGUCUACUAAAGAUAACUAUUGAAAAUCCAUUGAUUUGAGAUUUGAGCAAUUUGGACAGAAGACAAAACAUUGAUAUGAAGGCCGAUGUUUCAUGAAUACUUAAUUAAGAACAUCAUCAGCAUAUGAAAAGUAACACAUGUUUAUGAAUUAAAUAUCUUACUACUCUAGUGUCAUGAACACCUCAGUGCACGUAUAUGUAUGCUAACGUAUUUUGUCGUUACAAAAUCUCAGACGAUGACACACGUAUUAAACAGACAUCUGGUACACUUUGCAGGCUCUGGCGAAACGGACAGAAAUAAACCUACUCCGGACGGAAGUCUUUUGGCUAACAAAACGGUUUCACUUUCUGAUGCAAAAAGGAAAUCCCCUACUAACGUCAAUCAUUAAACACGUAGGACCGGUUCCCAGGACAACAAUGAUGCAACAAACUUUUUCGAGACCAGGGCAAACAGUAAAACUAAUGGACAGAUUUGAUCAUAUCAAAGAAAGAAGGAAACGGAAAAUCCAUGCUUGGAAUUCUCUGCUGCGUAUAUACCGUGUAAGAGUGUGUUUGUAGAUGAUUAAGAGUUACACUGAUGAACAUGUUUAGUAUUUGAUGAACAUGUUUUAUGGGAAAGGGCCGUUAGUUUUGUCGGAAACACUCGCGGCCCAAUACCUAUGCAAGCCCUUUUUGAUUGAAUGUGAAGAAUGUUACAUUGCACUGUUUUAUUUUCAUCUGUUGUCCUCCAUCCAUUUCAUUUAUUGUGUUUAUGUAUAUUCAUGUUAGAAGUAUGGAAUGAUUUUGUUACGAUUGAACUGAAUAAACAUACAAAUCAGGUGGUCUAUAAACUCACAUGUUUAUUUUUCAGUAUUUUACUUUCCGUUAGCGAAACUAAAACAAAAUGAUCAGACAGUUGCAAACCAAUAGCACAUAUCAAUAAGACUAUUCAAUGUGCUUUUACUUUUACACAGGACUGUAUUUUGCUUUAUCUCAAAGACACAGAAAUGGGCUCCUAAAAUUUACCAAGUAAUAAUGUUUAUUACUGCCUUAAUUGUUAUGGUUACCUGUUAGGAAGGGAUAAACCCAAUCAUAGGAGCAACCAUGUCGUUGUUCAUUACCUUUUCUGAUAAUUCCAACACAAAUGACUAGUACUUUAAAUUCCACGAUGAAUGAAAUAUCUCCUAGUACUUAUCAUUGACCUUUCAAGCAUGCCUUUAUAAAAAAAAUACCAACUACAACUUUACAAACCAUGCUGUAUUCCGAUUUACAUAAUGAUACUACAACUUUGCUGUUUAUAGUGUACAUAAUUAUUGUCCUUGAUUGAUAUUCUUGAAAUAACUAACGAAUAUACUGUAGUAUGUCAACUAUUGGAACUGUGCACAACAGGCCGUAAAGCCGGGAAAACUAGUUGUCAACUUAAUGUUAUCAUUGUAAAUAGAGCACUAAUCCAUCUUACUUUUUUGUUAUUGUAUUCAUGCUUAUAAAGACUAUUACAAUGUUGUGUCCUAUUAAUACCAAUAUGCUUUUAUUUACAGGUAAAAAUUAAAUCUGAUGUAUUGUUAUGUUA